rnacentral:lncRNA from 1 species
GACAACGUGAAGUCUUGUUUGAGAAUGCACCGGAUACCUGAUUGUGGAAGGUAAAAGAAAAUUACAACAAAAGGUCCUAAUAAUCCAAUAAGAUUAUAGAAAAAUUACAAUUAAACAGUAACAAUCAUGAUCAAACAUUAAGCAAGCUCAAUUAAAUUUUAUUGAAGUUAUAAAAGAAAUACAAAGAAAUCCUAAAGAAAUAUAAAAGAAUACUAAAGAAAACUUAGUCAAAUCCUAACAAAAAUCUAAAUAAACCUUAAAUUCUAAUCAAAUCCUAAUCCUAAUCUAACCUUAAUCAAACCUUAGACAAAUCCUAAAUCCUAACCAAAUCCUAAUCCUAACCAAAUCCUAAACUCUAAACCAAAUCCUAAAUCCUAAAUCAAAUCCUAACCAAAUCCUAAUCCAAAUCUUAAACCUUAAACCAAAUCCUAAUCCAAACCCUAAUCCAAAUCCUAAACCUUAAAUCAAAUCCUAAUUAAAUCCUAAAUCCUAAACCAAAUCCUAAUUCAAACCCUAAAUCCUAAAUCAAACCCUAUCCAAAUCCUAAAACCUAAACCAAAUCCUA